GACGAACGCUGGCGGCGUGCUUAACACAUGCAAGUCGAACGGAAAGGCCCUGCUUUUGUGGGGUGCUCGAGUGGCGAACGGGUGAGUAACACGUGAGUAACCUGCCCUUGACUUUGGGAUAACUUCAGGAAACUGGGGCUAAUACCGGAUAGGAGCUCCUGCUGCAUGGUGGGGGUUGGAAAGUUUCGGCGGUUGGGGAUGGACUCGCGGCUUAUCAGCUUGAUGGUGGGGUAGUGGCUUACCAAGGCUUUGGCGGGUAGCCGGCCUGAGAGGGUGAGCGGCCACAUUGGGACUGAGACACGGCCCAGACUCCUACGGGAGGCAGCAGUGGGGGAGAUUGCACAAUGGGCGGAAGCCUGAUGCAGCAACGCCGCGUGCGGGAUGACGGCCUUCGGGUUGGAAACCGCUUGCGCCUGUGACGAAGCGUGAGUGAAGGUAAUGGGUAAAGAAGCACCGGCUAACUACGUG
rnacentral:rRNA from 1 species